rnacentral:rRNA from 1 species
UACGGGGGGGGCAAGCGUUGUUCGGAAUUACUGGGCGUAAAGGGCUCGUAGGCGGCCAACUAAGUCGGAUGUGAAAUCCCCAGGCUUAACCUGGGAACUGCAUCUGAUACUGGAUGGCUUGAAUCCGGGAGAGGGAUGCAGAAUUCCAGGUGUAGCGGUGAAAUGCGUAGAGAUCUGGAGGAACACCGAUGGCGAAGGCAGCCUUCUGGGCCAACACUGACACUCAUGCACGAAAGCGUGGGGAGCAAACAGG